rnacentral:rRNA from 1 species
CUACGGGACGCAGCAGUGGGGAAUAUUGCGCAAUGGGCGAAAGCCUGACGCAGCAACGCCGCGUGGGUGAUGAAGGUCUUCGGAUUGUAAAACCCUGUCGUUAGGGACGAAGACUACCAGUCUAAUAUAUUGGUAGUUUGACGGUACCUAGAAAGGAAGCCCCGGCUAACUCUGUGCCAGCAGCCGCGGUAAUACAGAGGGGGCAAGCGUUAUUCGGAAUUAUUGGGCGUAAAGAGCGCGUAGGCGGUAUUUUAAGUGAGAUGUGUAAUCCCUGAGCUUAACUUGGGAACUGCAUCUCAUACUGGAAUGCUGGAGUACCGGAGAGGGUGGUAGAAUUCCACGUGUAGCGGUGAAAUGCGUAGAGAUGUGGAGGAAUACCGGUGGCGAAGGCGGCCACCUGGACGGUAACUGACGCUAAGGUGCGAAAGUGUGGGUAGCAAACAGGAUUAGAUACCCUUGUAGUC